rnacentral:misc_RNA from 1 species
AAGUCGUAACAAGGUUUCCGUAGGUGAACCUGCGGAAGGAUCAUUAACACGUAUCCAACGUUAAACCCCCUGUGAACCUUCAUUGUGCUCCCACGCUUUGUUAGAAAGUAGCAAUCCCUGGUAAAUCAUCGCCGAACAGUUUUGAUUCAGGGACUUCUGCGAAGAGGGUGAUGUAGCGCGAGGCAAUGGACCGGGCAUUCCUCUGCUUGUUGGUGUCUGAAAUUGUCACUAACUCUGUACGAAUGGCGCAUAGUCACGUUCGCUAGAGGCCGAUACGGCCGGCGACCGGGUCAGUGAGCUCUGCUCCCGCUGUUACGUCAAAACCCCAAGUUCCCCUCUAGUGAAAGCUAUUGGGUUAUAACUAAACGACUGUUAACAAUGGAUAUCUCGAUUCUC